rnacentral:rRNA from 1 species
GUGCAGGGGCGGCAUGCUAUACAUGCAAGUCGAACGAGCUUCCGUUGAAUGACGUGCUUGCACUGAUUUCAACAAUGAAGCGAGUGGCGAACUGGUGAGUAACACGUGGGGAAUCUGCCCAGAAGCAGGGGAUAACACUUGGAAACAGGUGCUAAUACCGUAUAACAACAAAACCCGCAUGGAUUUUGUUUGAAAGGUGGCUUCGGCUAUCACUUCUGGAUGAUCCCGCGGCGUAUUAGUUAGUUGGUGAGGUAAAGGCCCACCAAGACGAUGAUACGUAGCCGACCUGAGAGGGUAAUCGGCCACAUUGGGACUGAGACACGGCCCAAACUCCUACGGGAGGCAGCAGUAGGGAAUCUUCCACAAUGGACGAAAGUCUGAUGGAGCAAUGCCGCGUGAGUGAAGAAGGGUUUCGGCUCGUAAAACUCUGUUGUUAAAGAAGAACACCUUUGAGAGUAACUGUUCAAGGGUUGACGGUAUUUAACCAGAAAGCCACGGCUAACUACGUGCCAGCAGCCGCGGUAAUACGUAGGUGGCAAGCGUUGUCCGGAUUUAUUGGGCGUAAAGCGAGCGCAGGCGGCUUUUUAAGUCUGAUGUGAAAGCCUUCGGCUUAACCGGAGAA